rnacentral:lncRNA from 1 species
AUAAAUGGUUUUUUUAUCCCAUUACCCUUUUUUUAGUGGUUGAAUCGAGGUUUAGACACAUCAGAGAAUAUAUCUUCUAACAAGCUAUAUUUUUCUAAUAUAUGCUCAUAAGCAUUGUCUACAAAAUACUAUGGAACCAAAGAAGUGAAGAAGUUACACAAUGCUUCGUUUUGGGCGAGCCUUACUCUGUAACCAAUUGAUUACAUCUCUUAUUUUCCUUGUUCAUUAAUAUAGUUCAUAG